AACGAACGCUGGCGGCAUGCCUAACACAUGCAAGUCGAACGAGACCUUCGGGUCUAGUGGCGCACGGGUGCGUAACGCGUGGGAACCUGCCCUUAGGUUCGGAAUAACUCCCCGAAAGGGGUGCUAAUACCGGAUAAUGUCUUCGGACCAAAGAUUUAUCGCCUUUGGAUGGGCCCGCGUUGGAUUAGCUAGUUGGUAGGGUAAAAGCCUACCAAGGCGACGAUCCAUAGCUGGUCUGAGAGGAGGAUCAGCCACACUGGGACUGAGACACGGCCCAGACUCCUACGGGAGGCAGCAGUGGGGAAUAUUGGACAAUGGGCGAAAGCCUGAUCCAGCAAUGCCGCAUGAGUGAUGAAGGCCUUAGGGUUGUAAAGCUCUUUUACCCGGGAUGAUAAUGACAGUACCGGGAGAAUAAGCUCCGGCUAACUCCGUG
rnacentral:rRNA from 1 species